UUUUACUGCGGCAGCUUGAAUGGCUUCUUCCUGCAUUAGGAUGGCCCCUUAAGUAACAAACAGAAGUGGCAGAAGUGGCUGGCAGGUAUGGGGAUUCAAACCCAUGACCUUGGUGUUAUAAGGCUGUGCUUUAACCAACUGAGCUAACUGGCCAGGCCCAGCGUCUUUCUUUUGAUCAUAAAUGUGCUAUAUGGUCAGAAUAAAAAACUAGGAAAGUUCCAUAAUCUACAGUACAAAGUAGAACAGGAAAAAUUCUCCACAUCCCUUCAGCCAGAAGUGUCAACAUUUUUAGCUGUUUGCUGUAACAAACCAGCUUGCAAGUUUUCUGAACAUUGACUUCUCUACUUACCUGUGCACCACCAUGGUGUUAUUUGAGGACAGAUGUGGCACCUCGUCCUUUUCUGCACUGUGCACACUUUUCUGCAGAAGCAAUCAGUCAUCCCUGCAACAAUUGGAGGAUCAGUUUUGGAGAAUGGAUUGGGCAGAGUAGGAAGGACAUCAGCAUUCUCACCUCAGAAUUUAAGGCUGCAAACUGGUGAUCCAGGAGGCCAAAUUCCAUCAGACAUUGUGUGUUUCGUUCACAGCGCAGACUUGAAAAGAAAUUCUGGCAGAUAAUUUGGCUGAACAUGAAAAGCGAGAAGCUGCUUACUGACGCCCAAAUAAAGUGCUAGGUUGGUGAGACUCCGCGGGCUGAGUUGGUUAUUUCGCGGCAUGAAAAGCAGACAUUUAUCUGUUCCCAUGGAGAUGCGAUUUCUACUAGUCAAUCAGGCACUGGGGAGGUCAGACAAUAGCCAGUAGUUCCUCUUUUUCAUCUUGAGACAGUCCAUUCCCGCUCUUUUUUUUUUUUUUUUUUUAACAUUUCACCUAAAUUUAAAGGAAUCGAAAUGAUUUCUCAGAAAUACCUGCAAACACAGCCAUUGUAUUUUCAAGUGAUCAAAAUUAACAGGGAAUUCCAGCUGCCUCCGAGGAAGACGGGGCGUGACCACCCCCGACUCUUGCAGUUUCAAAUCAUAGGUUGUUCUGCCACAAUCCUUAUUUGCAUAAAUUUGUCUUCCAAACCGGAAUUCUCCCUCCUAAAUAAUUAAUAAAGCCGUAAGUUAAAUGUUGAAAUUUCCCAAACAACUGUUGGAGAGAGAGCAGGGGACUUCAAACAGAACACCGUGGAAGCAAGAGAAAGCUGCCCCAGGAGCGAGCAAAUCCUGGAACCGCUGCAAGUCCGAUAAAUUGUAAACUUUGUUCCUGGCAUUUCCUUGCCCGAAAACUGCUCGUUGCACAGUGAUUAAGGCCGUUAAUUGACCUUAUGUGUUUGUUAUCAAUGCCAGAAAGUAGAUCAUGUCUAUUUGCAAAAUACGUUUAUUUCACUAUCGCAGGGUAAGCGCCUCAAAACUGGGAUUCACAUAAAAGACUUUUUAAACGAUCUUCUCACCAGUGUCUCU